UACGGGGGGGGCAAGCGUUGUUCGGAAUUACUGGGCGUAAAGGGCUCGUAGGUGGCCAACUAAGUCGGACGUGAAAUCCCUCGGCUUAACCGGGGAACUGCAUCCGAUACUGGAUGGCUUGAGUUCGGGAGAGGGAUGCGGAAUUCCAGGUGUAGCGGAUGAAAUGCGUAGAUAUCUGGAGGAACACCGGUGGCGAAGGCGGCAUCCUGGACCGACACUGACGCUGAGGAGCGAAAGCCAGGGGAGCAAACGGG
rnacentral:rRNA from 1 species